UAACAAAGCGACAUCUUGACCCCUCAAACCGAGACCUAUAGGGUCAUUAAACUACGUCUCUAAUACCUUCACCUGAGGGUGGUGAAGGAAUACUUAACACA
rnacentral:ncRNA from 1 species